rnacentral:rRNA from 1 species
UGAGGAAUAUUGGUCAAUGGGCGGGGAGCCUGAACCAGCCAAGUCGCGUGAGGGAAGACGGUCCUAUGGAUUGUAAACCUCUUUUGUCGGGGAGCAAAGAGGCCACGUGUGGUCAAAAGCGAGAGUACCCGAAGAAAAAGCAUCGGCUAACUCCGUGCC